rnacentral:rRNA from 1 species
GAUGGUGACUUAAACCCUCACCAGAGUAGCAAUUGGAGGGCAAGUCUGGUGCCAGCAGCCGCGGUAAUUCCAGCUCCAAUAGCGUAUAUUAAACUUGUUGCAGUUAAAAAGCUCGUAGUUGUAUUUUUGCUUGGCGGUUUGUUGCCUUUGUGGCUUGAUUCCGCUUGGCUUUUGGCUUUUUGCCUUAUUACUUUGAGAAAAUUAGAGUGUUUCAAGCAGACUUUUGUCUUGAAUACUGUAGCAUGGAAUAAUAGAGUAGGACUUUGGUUCUAUUUUGUUGGUUUGGGAACCUUGGUAAUGGUUAAUAGGAACGGUUGGGGGCAUUCGUAUUUAACUGUCAGAGGUGAAAUUCUUAGAUUUGUUAAAGACGAACUACUGCGAAAGCAUUUGCCAAGGACGUUUCCAUUAAUCAAGAACGAAAGUUAGGGGAUCGAAGA